rnacentral:lncRNA from 1 species
UGAUAUGUGCUGUGCAUGUGUAUCGCCACCACCCCUGAAUGUCAUGUACACUCACUAUCAAGUGGUUUUUAUUUUAUCAACAUCUGUAUGUGUGUUCUGGGGAAUCAGAGGUCAUCAGGCUUGUAAGGCAAGCACUGUUACCCACUGACCAUUUCUCUGGUCCUUGUUUUAUUUUCUUUGAAACAGGGUCUCAUAUAACCUAUCUAAGCCAGCCUCAAAUUUGUUGUGUUGCCGAAAAUGUCCUUAACUCUUUACUUUUUUUAAAUAAAGAUUUUUAAAAUUUA